rnacentral:rRNA from 1 species
CCAGGGCAGGUCUAGUAUAAGCAUUAUACAGCGAAACUGCGAAUGGCUCAUUAUAUAAGUUAUCGUUUAUUUGAUAGUGCCUUACUACUUGGAUAACCGUGGUAAUUCUAGAGCUAAUACAUGCUAAAACGCUCGACUUCGGAAGGGUUGUAUUUAUUAGAUUAAAAACCAAUGCCCUCUGGGCUCACUGGUGAUUCAUAAUAACUUCGCGAAUCGCAUGGCCUUGCGCCGGCGAUGGCUCAUUCAAAUUUCUUCCCUAUCAACUUUCGAUGUUUGGGUAGUGGCCAAACAUGGUUGCAACGGGUAACGGAGGGUUAGGGCUCGACCCCGGAGAAGGAGCCUGAGAAACGGCUACUACAUCCAAGGAAGGCAGCAGGCGCGCAAAUUACCCAAUCCCGAUUCGGGGAGGUAGUGACAAUAAAUACUGAUACAGGGCUCUUUUGGGUCUUGUAAUUGGAAUGAGUACAAUUUAAAUCCCUUAACGAGGAACAAUUAGAGGGCAAGUCUGGUGCCAGCAGCCGCGGUAAUUCCAGCUCUAAUAGCGUAUAUUAAAGUUGUUGUGGUUAAAAAGCUCGUAGUUGAACCUUGGGCCUGGCUGGCAGGUCCGCCUCACCGCGUGUACUUUGCCGGCCGGGCCUUUCCCUCUGUGGAACCCCAUGCCCUUCACUGGGUGUGGCGGGGAAACAGGACUUUUACUUUGAAAAAAUUAGAGUGCUCCAGGCAGGCCUAUGCUCGAAUACAUUAGCAUGGAAUAAUAAAAUAGGACGUGUGGUUCUAUUUUGUUGGUUUCUAGGACCGCCGUAAUGAUUAAUAGGGACAGUCGGGGGCAUCAGUAUUCAAUUGUCAGAGGUGAAAUUCUUGGAUUUAUUGAAGACUAACUACUGCGAAAGCAUUUGCCAAGGAUGUUUUCAUUAAUCAGGAACGAAAGUUAGGGGAUCGAAGACGAUCAGAUACCGUCGUAGUCUUAACCAUAAACUAUGCCGACUAGGGAUCGGACGAUGUUAUUACUUGACUCGUUCGGCACCUUACGAGAAAUCAAAGUGCUGGGCUCCAGGGGAGGAAUUGAACCG